UACGGGGGGGGGCAAGCGUUGUUCGGAAUUACUGGGCGUAAAGGGCCCGUAGGCGGCCAACUCAGUCGGAUGUGAAAUCCCCAGGCUCAACUUGGGAACUGCAUCCGAUACUGGAUGGCUUGAAUCCGGGAGAGGGAUGCAGAAUUCCAGGUGUAGCGGUGAAAUGCGUAGAUAUCUGGAGGAAUACCGGUGGCGAAGGCGGCAUCCUGGACCGGCAUUGACGCUGAACGGCGAAAGCUAGGGGAGCAAACGGG
rnacentral:rRNA from 1 species